GAGCUUGCUCUCGGGUGACGAGCGGCGGACGGGUGAGUAAUGUCUGGGAAACUGCCUGAUGGAGGGGGAUAACUACUGGAAACGGUAGCUAAUACCGCAUAAUGUCGCAAGACCAAAGUGGGGGACCUUCGGGCCUCAUGCCAUCAGAUGUGCCCAGAUGGGAUUAGCUAGUAGGUGGGGUAACGGCUCACCUAGGCGACGAUCCCUAGCUGGUCUGAGAGGAUGACCAGCCACACUGGAACUGAGACACGGUCCAGACUCCUACGGGAGGCAGCAGUGGGGAAUAUUGCACAAUGGGCGCAAGCCUGAUGCAGCCAUGCCGCGUGUGUGAAGAAGGCCUUCGGGUUGUAAAGCACUUUCAGCGGGGAGGAAGGCGAUAAGGUUAAUAACCUUGUCGAUUGACGUUACCCGCAGAAGAAGCACCGGCUAACUCCGUGCCAGCAGCCGCGGUAAUACGGAGGGUGCAAGCGUUAAUCGGAAUUACUGGGCGUAAAGCGCACGCAGGCGGUCUGUCAAGUCGGAUGUGAAAUCCCCGGGCUCAACCUGGGAACUGCAUUCGAAACUGGCAGGCUAGAGUCUUGUAGAGGGGGGUAGAAUUCCAGGUGUAGCGGUGAAAUGCGUAGAGAUCUGGAGGAAUACCGGUGGCGAAGGCGGCCCCCUGGACAAAGACUGACGCUCAGGUGCGAAAGCGUGGGGAGCAACAGGAUAGAUACCCUGGUAGUCACGCCGUAACGAUGUCGAUUUGG
rnacentral:rRNA from 1 species